rnacentral:RNase_P_RNA from 1 species
AGAGUUAGUUAGACAAUCGCUAUAUUUUUUAUAGAGGAAAGUCCGGGCUCCAUCGGACAGGGUGCCAGGUAAUGCCUGGGAGGCGCGAGCCUACGGAAAGUACCACAGAAAAUAUACCGCCUUUAUAAUCGUUAGAUUGUAUAGGUAAGGGUGAAAAGGUGUGGUAAGAGCACACCGCGCGACUGGUGACAGUUCGUGGCAUGGUAAACCCCACCCGGAGCAAGACCAAAUAGGGGGGUAAGCAAGCAAAUUUUGCACCGUCAGUUCCGAGCGGACUCCCGGGUAGGUUGCUUGAGGUGAUUGGUGACAAUCAUCCUAGAUGAAUGGUUGUCCAAGACAGAACCCGGCUUAUUACUAACUCUGGCU